CCAGUUAAAAUUGAUGGGGAAAUAGGUGGGGAAUUAAGUGAGCAAGGUGCAAAACCUACUAAGCAGAAAAAGGGUACAUCAGUCAAGACUGGGACAAAAUCUGGAGGCAAGAAAAAAGGAACAAUACAUGAACCAACUAUUGCGAACUUGAGAGAGAAAGCGGUUAAAUUGUUUGAUGUACCUGCCUCUAAACCACUCACCAAAAUUCGCAAGACCGUAGCAAUAAAACAGCAAGCUGUUAGACCAUUUCUAAAAAAUCAGACUCGAUCAUCUCAAAAGCGGGAUUUGGCAUGUGAAAAUGACUAUUCAGAGGGGGAGGAUAGCCCUGAAUCUUAUGAAGUAGAUAAUUGAUGACUUCGAAUUUGACACCCUACAUGAAGUGGAAGAGAAAGUUAACAAGAUAAUUCGUGGAGCGAAUGCAAGGUCAAGGACUUCGGAUGAAGACCUCGCAGACAUUGCUGCUUUGAAAGCGGCAGGCGUGCUCCUGCCUAAUGGUCUUGUCCCAUUUUCUCCUUACAUCAAUGAAGAUGGUGAAAAGAUGCUCACUGAUUUGGACUAGUUUUGUUUGUUAUCACUUUGGUCGCAUUUUAUAACUUUGAUGUAUAGAAGGCUUGGGUAUAGUCAAUACAAAAUCCUGUUGGUAGUUUUUCUGAUACCUUUUUCAUUUAACUGUUUUUACAUCUUUUAUAACUUUUUUCUGUGAUUGUAGAAUCAUUUUGUGUAAUGCGUGCCUUAUCUCUUAAUAUCUAUUAAGAUAUUGAAGACUCUAAGCCAUUGAAAGUAGCAGUGAUCUUCCCCCUGUAUAGAUAUAUUUGCCUACUGGCGAUGUAUCGUAUGUCAAUGGACAAGAUGUCCUACAUAAUUGUUGAUUAUUUUUUUUUUGUGAUUGUGAAAUUAUUUCUUACAAUGUGACUUUGUAAAAAUUUGUUUCAACGAAGAUAUCAUCAGUCUUUUGUUACCUUUUCAUUUAACUGUUUUUACAUCUUGUAACUUUUUUUUAUUGUGAACUACAAAUCAUGUCUUUAAGGGGGGAUCCUAGUGUAACGGGCCUAAAAUAGGGGUGUUUUCGAGAUUUUUUUAAAAAGAAACUAUUGCUCCGCGGGAAAAACCCAAUACACUGUUCAUAGAAAACUACUUUAAAGAAAAAAUCACCCGGUGUGUGUUGCCAAGACCCCCCGGGGUUCGGA